rnacentral:rRNA from 1 species
CCUACGGGGUGCAGCAGUGGGGAAUAUUGGUCAAUAGGCGCGAGCCUGAACCAGCCAAGUCGCGUGAGGGAAGACGGCCCUACGGGUUGUAAACCUCUUUUGCCGGGGAGCAACGGGCGCCACGUGUGGCGCCACUGAGAGUACCCGGAGAAAAAGCAUCGGCUAACUCCGUGCCAGCAGCCGCGGUAAAACGGAGGAUGCGAGCGUUAUCCGGAUUUAUUGGGGUUAAGGGGUGCGUAGGCGGAGCGUUAAGUCAGGGUGCAAAUUGGUGGGCUCAAACCCUUCCCGCCAUUGAAACUGGCGCUCUUGAGUGUAAGAGAAGUAUGCGGAAUGCGUGGUGUAGCGGUGAAAUGCAUAGAUAUCACGCAGAACCCCGAUUGCGAAGGCAGCAUGCCGGCUUCCGACUGACGCUGAAGCACGAAAGCGUGGGGAUCGAACAGGAUUAGAUACCCGAGUAGUC